UACGAGGGGGGGCGAGCGUUGUUCGGAAUUAUUGGGCGUAAAGGGUGCGUAGGCGGUUUGGUAAGUCUUGUGUGAAAUCUACAGGCUCAACUUGUAGUCUGCACGAGAAACUGCCGGGCUUGAGUAUGGGAGAGGUGAGUGGAAUUCCUGGUGUAGCGGUGAAAUGCGUAGAUAUCAGGAGGAACACCUGUGGCGAAAGCGGCUCACUGGACCAUAACUGACGCUGAUGCACGAAAGCUAGGGGAGCAAACAGG
rnacentral:rRNA from 1 species